GUCUUUUUGAUUAUAAUUUAAAGUCUAAUCUGCUCAAUGAAAGUUUAAAUAGCCGCAGUAUUUUGACUGUGCAAAGGUAGCAUAAUAAUUAGUUUUUUAAUUAGGAACUUGUAUGAAUGAUUGGACAAGAAAAUUUCUGUCUCUUAUUAAUUUUUUUUGAAUUUAAUUUUUAAGUUAAAGUGCUUAAAUUUUUGUAAAAGACGAGAAGACCCCAUAGAGUUUUAUUUUCAAAUAUUUUUAGUAUAAUUUAUUAAAAUUGAAAAAUUAGUUGGGGUGACUUAAAGAUUAAAUAAACUCUUUAAAUUUUGAUCAUUUAUUUGUGAAUUGUGAUUCUAAUUUUUUAAGUUUAAAUUAAAUUACCUUGGGGAUAACAGCGUAAUUUCUUUUAAGAGUUCUUAUCAAAUAAGAAGAUUGCGACCUCGAUGUUGGAUUAAAAUUUAUUUUAGGUGUAGAAGCUUGAAAAUUAAGUCUGUUCGACUUUUAAAAUUUU
rnacentral:rRNA from 1 species